AUGGUCAACCAGGUCUUCUCCACCAGAGGAGACCACACCUCCAGCCAGGGCCUGUCUGUGUUCCCCUUGGCCUCCUGCUGUAAAGACAACAUCGCCAGUACCUCUGUGACACUGGGCUGCCUGGUCACCGGCUAUCUCCCCAUGUCGACAACUGUGACCUGGGACGCGGGGUCUCUAAGUAAGAAUGUCACAACCUUCCCCACCACCUUCCACGAGACCUCCGGCCUCCACAGCACCGUCAGCCAGGUGACCGCCUCGGGCGAGUGGGCCAAACAGAGGUUCACCUGCAGCGUGGCUCACGCUGAGUCCACCGCCAUCAACAAGACCUUCAGUGCAUGUGCCUUAAACUUCAUUCCGCCUACCGUGAAGCUCUUCCACUCCUCCUGCAACCCCGUCGGUGACACCCACACCACCAUCCAGCUCCUGUGCCUCAUCUCUGGCUACGUCCCAGGUGACAUGGAGGUCAUCUGGCUGGUGGAUGGGCAAAAGGCUACAAACAUAUUCCCAUACACUGCGCCUGGCACAAAGGAGGGCAACGUGACCUCUACCCACAGCGAGCUCAACAUCACCCAGGGCGAGUGGGUAUCCCAAAAAACCUACACCUGCCAGGUCACCUAUCAAGGCUUUACCUUUAAAGAUGAGGCUCGCAAGUGCACAGAGUCCGACCCCCGAGGCGUGAGCAGCUACCUGAGCCCGCCCAGCCCCCUUGACCUGUAUGUCCACAAGGCGCCCAAGAUCACCUGCCUGGUAGUGGACCUGGCCAGGAUAGAAGGCAUGAGCCUGACCUGGUCCCGGGAGAGCAAUGAACCCGUGAACCCGGGCCCUUUGAACAAGAAGAAUCACUUCAAUGGGACGAUCACAGUCACGUCCACCCUGCCAGUGAACACCAAUGACUGGAUCGAGGGCGAGACCUACUAUUGCAGGGUGACCCACCCGGACCUGCCCAAGGACAUCGUGCGCUCCAUUGCCAAGGCCCCCGGCAAGCGUGCCCCCCCGGAUGUGUACUUGUUCCUGCCACCGGAGGAGGAGCAGGGGACCAAGGACAGAGUCACCCUCACGUGCCUGAUCCAGAACUUCUUCCCCGCUGACAUUUCGGUGCAAUGGCUGCGAAACGACAGCCCCAUCCAGACAGACCAGUACACCACCACGGGGCCCCACAAGGUCUCGGGCUCCAGGCCUGCCUUCUUCAUCUUCAGCCGCCUGGAGGUUAGCCGGGCGGACUGGGAGCAGAAGAACAAAUUCACGUGCCAAGUGGUGCAUGAGGCGCUGUCCGGCUCUAGGAUCCUCCAGAAAUGGGUGUCCAAAAGCCCCGGUAAAUGAUGCCCACCCUCCUCCCGCCGCCACCCCCCAGGGCUCCACCCUGCUGGGGCAGGGGAGGGGGGCUGGCAAGACCCUCCAUCUGUCCUUGUCAAUAAACACUCCAG